rnacentral:misc_RNA from 1 species
CGCCGCCUGCGACGUCGCGAGAAGUCCACUGAACCUUAUCAUUUAGAGGAAGGAGAAGUCGUAACAAGGUUUCCGUAGGUGAACCUGCGGAAGGAUCAUUGUCGAAACCUGCCCAGCAGAACGACCCGCGAACUUGUAGAGACCACCGGCGGCGGGAGGGGGGAUGCGCUCGUCUGCGGGCGCUCCUCCUUCCUCCCCACUCGCCGCUGGGAGGGGGACUAGUCCCGCUCCUGGCUGGCGAAACAACGAACCCCCGGCGCGGACUGCGCCAAGGAAAUCCAACGAGAGAGCACGCACCCGCGGCCCCGGAGACGGGGUGCCGCGGGGCGCGGCGCCUUCUUUCACUUCUAUCCAAAAUGACUCUCGGCAACGGAUAUCUCGGCUCUCGCAUCGAUGAAGAACGUAGCGAAAUGCGAUACUUGGUGUGAAUUGCAGAAUCCCGUGAACCAUCGAGUCUUUGAACGCAAGUUGCGCCCUAAGCCGUUAGGCCGAGGGCACGUCUGCCUGGGUGUCACGCAUCGUUGCCCACCCCACCCCCCCCCCAUCGAGGCGGGGGCCCGGAGGAGGUGCGGGCGGAGAUUGGCCUCCCGUGCGCGGACCGCUCGCGGUUGGCCCAAAUCCGAGUCCUCGGCGACCGAAGCCGCGGUGAUCGGUGGUGAAAAAAAAGCCUCUCGAGCUCCCACCGCACGCCCGGUCUCCACGAGGGGACCCUGUGACCCUGACGCCCCGCGCAAGCGGCGGCUCGCAUCGCGACCCCAGGUCAGGCGGGAUCACCCGCUGAGUUUAAGCAUAUCAAUAAGCGGA